ACAGAGUUCCGUCUGUAUUGCAGACAGAUCCCAGGUUACCCUUUUAACACACCCUCAUGCAACACAGAGUUCCGUCUGUAUUGCAGACAGAUCCCAGGUUACCCUUUUAACACACCCUCAUGCAACACAGAGUUCCGUCUGUAUUGCAGACAGAUCCCAGGUUACCCUUUUAACACACCCUCAUGCAACACAGAGUUCCGUCUGUAUUGCAGACAGAUCCCAGGUUACCCUUUUAACACACCCUCAUGCAACACAGAGUUCCGUCUGUAUUGCAGACAGAUCCCAGGUUACCCUUUUAACACACCCUCAUGCAACACAGAGUUCCGUCUGUAUUGCAGACAGAUCCCAGGUUACCCUUUUAACACACCCUCAUGCAACACGGAGUUCCGUCUGUAUUGCAGACAGAUCCCAGGUUACCCUUUUAACACACCCUCAUGCAACACGGAGUUCCGUCUGUAUUGCAGACAGAUCCCAGGUUACCCUUUUAACACACCUUCAUGCAACACGGAGUGUGUUCCAUUGUGUACAGUAGAGGUGAUUGGGGUAAAUCAUUGUGAUCUGAUUGGUUUUUCAGAUGCCCCACUCAGCCCCAAGGCCAUUGUGAUAACUCCUGAGACAUGGUGACACCAACAUUAAUCCUCCUUCCUGUCUCCCUGUUCACCAGACGAUUGGAAGACAAUACCACUUCUUGUCACUAUGACCUUUUCCUGUUUCGACAGACAGGUCCUCCGUGUCGUCUCAGUCAAUCAGUCAUGACAAACUGCUCUACUAAACACUGCAGCUGGAAAGCGUGGAAAGUGAAAUGAAUGGCCAUCAUUUGUAUGACGUGGCCAACAUUACGAAUUUGCUUUGCUACCUCGUUCACAUAUCUUAAAGCAGCAUUUUGCCAGCAGCAAAGGCAGUCUGAGGUGUCAAAGUAUUAAUAUCUCUCACAGCAACUUUGCUCCCUCAAGACAUGGUUCUGGCAGAAAGAAAUGUGCCAUCUUUGAGUUCAGCAUGUGGUGUUUAAUUCAAGAGUUGUUGUGUGUAAUGUGUAGGUGUGGGAGCCAAUGGU